rnacentral:hammerhead_ribozyme from 1 species
AUCCAGCUGACGAGUCCCAAAAUAGGACGAAACGCUCGUCCUGUAU